CCGGCGAUGUCCGAAUGGGGAAACCCAGUGCAAUUCGUUGCACUAUCGUUAACUGAAUACAUAGGUUAACGAGGCGAACCGGGGGAACUGAAACAUCUAAGUACCCCGAGGAAAAGAAAUCAACCGAGAUUCCCCCAGUAGCGGCGAGCGAACGGGGAGCAGCCCAGAGUCUGAAUCAGCUUGUGUGUUAGUGGAACGGUCUGGAAAGUCCGACGGUACAGGGUGAUAGUCCCGUACACCAAAAUGCACAGGCUGUGAACUCGAAGAGUAGGGCGGGACACGUGGUAUCCUGUCUGAAUAUGGGGGGACCAUCCUCCAAGGCUAAAUACUCCUGACUGACCGAUAGUGAACCAGUACCGUGAGGGAAAGGCGAAAAGAACCCCGGCGAGGGGAGUGAAAAAGAACCUGAAACCGUGUACGUACAAGCAGUGGGAGCACCUUCGGGUGUGACUGCGUACCUUUUGUAUAAUGGGUCAGCGACUUAUAUUCUGUAGCAAGGUUAACCGUAUAGGGGAGCCGCAGGGAAACCGAGUCUUAACUGGGCGUUAAGUUGCAGGGUAUAGACCCGAAACCCGGUGAUCUAGCCAUGGGCAGGUUGAAGGUUGGGUAACACUAACUGGAGGACCGAACCGACUAAUGUUGAAAAAUUAGCGGAUGACUUGUGGCUGGGGGUGAAAGGCCAAUCAAACCGGGAGAUAGCUGGUUCUCCCCGAAAGCUAUUUAGGUAGCGCCUCGUGAAUUCAUCUUCGGGGGUAGAGCACUGUUUCGGCUAGGGGGUCAUCCCGACUUACCAACCCGAUGCAAACUACGAAUACCGAAGAAUGUUAUCACGGGAGACACACGGCGGGUGCUAACGUCCGUCGUGAAGAGGGAAACAACCCAGACCGCCAGCUAAGGUCCCAAAGUCAUGGUUAAGUGGGAAACGAUGUGGGAAGGCACAGACAGCCAGGAUGUUGGCUUAGAAGCAGCCAUCAUUUAAAGAAAGCGUAAUAGCUCACUGGUCGAGUCGGCCUGCGCGGAAGAUGUAACGGGGCUAAACCAUGCACCGAAGCUGCGGCAGCGACACUAUGUGUUGUUGGGUAGGGGAGCGUUCUGUAAGCCUGCGAAGGUGACCUGUGAGGGUUGCUGGAGGUAUCAGAAGUGCGAAUGCUGACAUAAGUAACGAUAAAGCGGGUGAAAAGCCCGCUCGCCGGAAGACCAAGGGUUCCUGUCCAACGUUAAUCGGGGCAGGGUGAGUCGACCCCUAAGGCGAGGCCGAAAGGCGUAGUCGAUGGGAAACAGGUUAAUAUUCCUGUACUUGGUGUUACUGCGAAGGGGGGACGGAGAAGGCUAUGUUAGCCGGGCGACGGUUGUCCCGGUUUAAGCAUGUAGGCUGGUUGUCCAGGCAAAUCCGGAUAAUCAAGGCUGAGGUGUGAUGACGAGGCACUACGGUGCUGAAGUAACAAAUGCCCUGCUUCCAGGAAAAGCCUCUAAGCAUCAGGUAACAUCAAAUCGUACCCCAAACCGACACAGGUGGUCAGGUAGAGAAUACCAAGGCGCUUGAGAGAACUCGGGUGAAGGAACUAGGCAAAAUGGUGCCGUAACUUCGGGAGAAGGCACGCUGGUGUGUAGGUGAAGUCCCUGCGGAUGGAGCUGAGACCAGUCGAAGAUACCAGCUGGCUGCAACUGUUUAUUAAAAACACAGCACUGUGCAAACACGAAAGUGGACGUAUACGGUGUGACGCCUGCCCGGUGCCGGAAGGUUAAUUGAUGGGGUUAUCCGUAAGGAGAAGCUCUUGAUCGAAGCCCCGGUAAACGGCGGCCGUAACUAUAACGGUCCUAAGGUAGCGAAAUUCCUUGUCGGGUAAGUUCCGACCUGCACGAAUGGCGUAAUGAUGGCCAGGCUGUCUCCACCCGAGACUCAGUGAAAUUGAACUCGCUGUGAAGAUGCAGUGUACCCGCGGCAAGACGGAAAGACCCCGUGAACCUUUACUAUAGCUUGACACUGAACAUUGAGCCUUGAUGUGUAGGAUAGGUGGGAGGCUUUGAAGCGUGGACGCCAGUCUGCGUGGAGCCAACCUUGAAAUACCACCCUUUAAUGUUUGAUGUUCUAACGUUGGCCCCUUACCGGGGUUGCGGACAGUGUCUGGUGGGUAGUUUGACUGGGGCGGUCUCCUCCCAAAGCGUAACGGAGGAGCACGAAGGUUAGCUAAUCCUGGUCGGACAUCAGGAGGUUAGUGCAAUGGCAUAAGCUAGCUUGACUGCGAGCGUGACGGCGCGAGCAGGUGCGAAAGCAGGUCAUAGUGAUCCGGUGGUUCUGAAUGGAAGGGCCAUCGCUCAACGGAUAAAAGGUACUCCGGGGAUAACAGGCUGAUACCGCCCAAGAGUUCAUAUCGACGGCGGUGUUUGGCACCUCGAUGUCGGCUCAUCACAUCCUGGGGCUGAAGUAGGUCCCAAGGGUAUGGCUGUUCGCCAUUUAAAGUGGUACGCGAGCUGGGUUUAGAACGUCGUGAGACAGUUCGGUCCCUAUCUGCCGUGGGCGCUGGAGAAUUGAGGGGGGCUGCUCCUAGUACGAGAGGACCGGAGUGGACGCAUCACUGGUGUUCGGGUUGUCAUGCCAAUGGCACUGCCCGGUAGCUAAAUGCGGAAGAGAUAAGUGCUGAAAGCAUCUAAGCACGAAACUUGCCCCGAGAUGAGUUCUCCCUGAGACUUUAAGUCUCCUGAAGGAACGUUAAAGACGAUGACGUUGAUAGGCCGGGUGUGUAAGCGCAGCGAUGCGUUGAGCUAACCGGUACUAAUGAACCGUGAGGCUUAACCUU
rnacentral:rRNA from 1 species